UACGAAGUGAGCUAGCGUUGUUCGGAAUCACUGGGCGUAAAGCGCACGUAGGCGGAUGUGUCAGUCAGGGGUGAAAUCCCGGAGCUCAACUUCGGUACUGCCUUUGAUACAGCACGUCUUGAGUCCGAUAGAGGUGGGUGGAAUUCCUAGUGUAGAGGUGAAAUUCGUAGAUAUUAGGAAGAACACCGGUGGCGAAGGCGGCCCACUGGAUCGGUACUGACGCUGAGGUGCGAAAGCGUGGGGAGCAAACAGG
rnacentral:rRNA from 1 species